UUUAAAUAUGGCUGGGAGGCUGUUACGGUGAUCGGGUCUUAGUGCCUGUCGGCUUAACUCAUCGAGCCGCGCUCGCACGGACAGAGCGUUCCGAGUUAAGCACUGUGGACUGCGUUUCGAGUGGCGCUGCGGUAAUCGCUGAAACAACACUGGCUUUGCGACCUCCCGGGUGUCCUUCCCCGUCAUACGAACCUCAGAACUCCCUUCUGUUCUUGUCAUGUAUGAAAACCUGGCAGCGGGACUCUGCGGGGGGUCUAAGUGUCCCACAGUGGCGCUGUACCCCCUGGCUGGACCUGAUCAAAGUGAAGCAGGUACAGUAUACUAAGGUUCACCGUGUUCGUGGCAGCUCUGUGAGGAGGCCACCCCACUCUGCAUGCUCCUUGUUGUUCCAGGCUGCCUCUUCAUGGGAACUGACUCAACAAUGGCACAGAUAUUAG
rnacentral:lncRNA from 1 species